rnacentral:rRNA from 1 species
UACGGGGGAUGCGAGCGUUGUCCGGAUUUAUUGGGUUUAAAGGGUGCGUAGGCGGAUCGUUAAGUCAGUGGUCAAAUUGAGGGGCUCAACCCCUUCCCGCCAUUGAAACUGGCGAUCUUGAGUGGAAGAGAAGUAUGCGGAAUGCGUGGUGUAGCGGUGAAAUGCAUAGAUAUCACGCAGAACCCCGAUUGCGAAGGCAGCAUGCCGGCUUCCGACUGACGCUGAAGCACGAAAGCGUGGGGAUCGAACAGG